ACUCAAAUGAAUUGACGGGGACCUGCACAAGCGGUGGAGCGUGUGAUUUAAUUCGAUACUAAGCGAAGAACCUUACCCAGGCUUGACAUCUCUGGAAAGUCCAUGAAAGUGGACCGUGCCGCAAGGAACCAGAUGACAGGUGCUGCACGGUUGUCGUCAGCUCGUGCUGUGAAGUGUCCCGUUCAGUCGGUUAACGAGCGCAACCCCUAUCCUGUGUUGUAUUUCUCACAGGAAACUGCCCAUGUUAAGUGGGAGGAAGGUGGGGAUGACGUCAAAUCAGCGUGGCUCUUACGCCUGGGGCGAUACACGCGCUACAAUGGGGAGUAACAAUGGGUUGCCAAGCCGCGAGGCGGAGCUAAUCCCACCAAACCUCCCCCCAGUUCGGAUCGGAGGCUGCAACUCGCCUCCGUGAAGCCGGAAUCGCUAGUAACGGCCGGUCAGCCAUACGGCCGUGAAUACGUUCUCAGGUCUUGUACACACCGCCCGU
rnacentral:rRNA from 1 species